UCGCGGCUUAUCACCGGCAGUCUCCUUAGAGUGCCCAACUAAAUGUAGCAACUAAUGACAAGGGUUGCGCUCGUUGCGGGACUUAACCCAACAUCUCACGACACGAGCUGACGACAGCCAUGCAGCACCUGUGUUCCGAUUCCCUUUCGGGCACACCCACAUCUCUGCGGGCUCUCGGACAUGUCAAGGGUAGGUAAGGUUUUUCGCGUUGCAUCGAAUUAAUCCACAUAAUCCACCGCUUGUGCGGGUCCCCGUCAAUUCCUUUGAGUUUUAACCUUGCGGCCGUACUCCCCAGGCGGGGCACUUAAUGCGUUAGCGCCGGCCCUCGGGGGGUCGCUCCCCCAAGCGCCUAGUGCCCAUCGUUUAUGGCCAAGACUAC
rnacentral:misc_RNA from 1 species